rnacentral:rRNA from 1 species
UGGGGAAUUUUGCACAAUGGGGGGAACCCUGACCGAGCAACGCCGCGUGAGUGAAGAAGGUUUUCGGAUCGUAAAGCUCUGUUGUUAAGGAAGAACGAGUGUGAGAAUGGAAAGUUCAUACUGUGACGGUACUUAACCAGAAAGGGACGGCUAACUACGUGCCAGCAGCCGCGGUAAUACGUAGGUCCCGAGCGUUGUCCGGAUUUAUUGGGCGUAAAGCGAGCGCAGGCGGUUAGAUAAGUCUGAAGUUAAAGGCAGUGGCUCAACCAUUGUAGGCUUUGGAAACUGUUUAACUUGAGUGCAGAAGGGGAGAGUGGAAUUCCAUGUGUAGCGGUGAAAUGCGUAGAUAUAUGGAGGAACACCGGUGGCGAAAGCGGCUCUCUGGUCUGUAACUGACGCUGAGGCUCGAAAGCGUGGGGAGCGAACAGG